UUUAAAUGUUAAUUUUUAAGCCAGGGUAGUAAUUGUUAUGUACUUCAAACCCAAAGAAUUUGGCGGUACUUUAGUCCUUUCAGAGGAAUCUGUCCCGUGAUCGACAGCCCACGAUAUGAUUGACUUAUUUUUGUUUUCAGUUUGUAUACCUCCGUCGUAAGAGAAUCUUUUUAGAGUUUAAUUUUCUUUAUGUAUCAAGUACAUGAUGUCAGGUCAAGGUGCAAUUUAUAAAUAAGUGGAGAUGGAUUACAAUAAAUUUUAUUUAAACGGAUUAAUGGAUUUAAUAUUUAUGAAGGUGGAUUUGAUUGUAAUUUUAAUUGUUUAUUAUUAUGAUUAUUGGCUCUAAAGUAUGC
rnacentral:rRNA from 1 species